ACAAAAACAUCUGCUUUUGAAUAGAAUUUAAGCUCUUACCUGCUCAAUGUUAAGAUAAAUAGCCGCAGGCUAUCCUGUGCUAAGGUAGCGUAAUUCUUUGUCCAUUAAUUGUGGUCUUGUAUGAAUGGUUUGACGAGAGAAUAACUGUCUCUAUAAGGUUUAGUAAAAAUUGAACUGGGAGUAAGAAUUCUUCUUUAAACUAGACGGACGAAAAGACCCUGUGAAUCUUAAUUAGUUUUAAAAUCAAGGUUUUACAACAAAUUUACCUGGGAUGGGGCUAGCUAAAAACGCUAGAGUAUGUAAAUAUUGAAAAAUAGAAGUUAAAUAUGGAAGAAGUUUUCUUUAUAGAAGUUAGUUACUCCAGGGAUAACAGUGUAAUACUAUCUACAACAGUACAAAUGAGUAGAAAGGGUUACAACCUCGAUGUUGAAUUAAGGUUAGGUUUGGAAAGUAGAAUUUCAAUAAUCUUGGUUUGUUCAACCAUUAAUUCCUUACGUGAUCUGA
rnacentral:rRNA from 1 species